GCUGUAGCUCAGUGGCAAAGAGCAUCUGCUCUGCACCCAGAAGGUCCCAGGUUCAAUCCCUGGCAUGACCU